AAACUUUCAACAACGGAUCUCUUGGUUCUGGCAUCGAUGAAGAACGCAGCAAAAUGCGAUAAGUAAUGUGAAUUGCAGAAUUCAGUGAAUCAUCGAAUCUUUGAACGCACAUUGCGCCCCUCGGUAUUCCGGGGGGCAUGCCUGUCCGAGCGUCAUUA
rnacentral:rRNA from 1 species